AUGUUUCUUGGAACAGAACGUCACAGAGGGUGAGAAUCCCGUGCGAUGAGAUGAUCCAGGCCUAUGUAAAGUUCCUUCGAAGAGUCGAGUUGUUUGGGAAUGCAGCUCUAAGUGGGUGGUAAAUUCCAUCUAAAGCUAAAUAUUGGCGAGAGACCGAUAGCGAACAAGUACAGUGAUGGAAAGAUGAAAAGAACUUUGAAAAGAGAGUGAAAAAGUACGUGAAAUUGUUGAAAGGGAAGGGCUUGAGAUCAGACUUGGUAUUUUGUAUGUUACUUCUUCGGGGGUGGCCUCUACAGUUUAUCGGGCCAGCAUCAGUUUGGGCGGUAGGAGAAUUGCGUUGGAAUGUGGCACGGCUUCGGUUGUGUGUUAUAGCCUUUGUCGAUACUGCCAGCCUAGACUGAGGACUGCGGUUUAUACCUAGGAUGUUGGCAUAAUGAUCUUAAGUCGCCCGUCUUGAAACACGGACCAAGGAGUCUAACGUCUAUGCGAGUGUUUGGGUGUAAAACCCGUACGCGUAAUGAAAGUGAACGUAGGUGGGGGCCCGUAUGGGUGCACCAUCGACCGAUCCUGAUGUCUUCGGAUGGAUUUGAGUAAGAGCAUAGCUGUUGGGACCCGAAAGAUGGUGAACUAUGCCUGAAUAGGGUGAAGCCAGAGGAAACUCUGGUGGAGGCUCGUAGCGGUUCUGACGUGCAAAUCGAUCGU
rnacentral:rRNA from 1 species